AGUGGCGGGACGGGUGAAGUAACGCGGUAGGUAACCUGCCCCAUACAGGGGGAUAACAGCCGGAAACGGCUGCUAAUACCGCAUGCACAUGCGGGGGCGCAUGCCCCUGGAUGGAAAGCUUUCGCGGUAUGGGAUGGGCCCGCGUCUGAUUAGGCAGUUGGCGGGGUAACGGCCCACCAAACCGACGAUCAGUAGCCGGCCUGAGAGGGUGGACGGCCACAUUGGGACUGAGACACGGCCCAAACUCCUACGGAAGGCAGCAG
rnacentral:rRNA from 1 species